AGUGAAGUUAUUAGUGAUUAGUAAAGCUAUUAGUGAUUAGUGAAGUUAUUAGUGAUUAGUGAAGUUAUUAGUGAUUAGUGAAGUUAUUAGUGAUUAGUGAAGUUAUUAGUGAUUAGUAAAGCUAUUAGUGAUUAGUGAAGUUAUUAGUGAAGUUAUUAGUGAUUAGUGAAGUUAUUAGUGAUUAUUAUUAGUGUUAGUGAAGUUAUUAGUGAUUAGUAAAGCUAUUAGUGAUUAGUGAAGUUAUUUAUUAUUAGUGAAGUUAUUAGUGAUUAGUGAAGUGAUUAGUGAAGUUAUUAGUGAUUAGUGAAGUGAUUAGUGAAGUGAUUAGUGAAGUUAUUAGUGAUUAGUGAAGUUAUUAGUGAUUAGUGAAGUUAUUAGUGAUUAGUGAAGUUAUUAGUGAUUAGUGAAGCUAUUAGUGAUUAGUGAAGUUAUUAGUGUGCGGUGAGCAAUGUGGAGAACAGUCACGUGUGAGAGCACUUCAGUUCUGUGAGCACUGAGACACUCGAACGUCCUUUCCCCUCUUACGCUUUCGAUUACACACACUUUAACAUCAGCACAAGGACCUCAAGCAAUGUAAACAGAGCUAAAUAAAAUGUUCCUGAUGCCCCUGAUUGAUUAAUGCUAGGGUUAAGUAGGUUACUCAUUUCCGAAUCAGUAUCGCAGAAAAC
ensembl:lncRNA